UGCAGGCUGAAGUCACAUUAAACACUUCACACCAGCAAAGAGUCUGAAGCUCACAGGUCAAAGGUCAGCUGCUGCAGCCAGUUAUGACUUUACAUAAAUCAUCAUGUUUUCCCUCUCAGCACUUGGGCUGUUUUGACUCAGCUACACUAUGGGAAACGGCCAAUGGUUCCACAGCUGUUCUUGUUCACAGCAUCAUCCAGUUAGAGAGGAAACUGUAUAAUGCAAUGAUGUUGCUCCUCCUCCACAUGCUUACCUGCCACAGUUUAACUCCGCCUCUUAGACAGUCAUGUCACCUGAUCUGCAUGUUUUGUUGUACGAUGACGUCAUCUUGCCGUUGACGAGGAG